rnacentral:rRNA from 1 species
UUCUGGCUUUUCCUUUGUUUUGAACUAAAUUUAUAAAUUAUUCAAAAAAACUUAAAGAGUGCUGAAGUAGUAAAUAAUUUUAAGUAACACAUAAGUGGACUUAGUUAAGUUCUUAAGAUUUGGUGAAAUUUGUGCCAGCCACCGCGGUUACACAAAUAAUUCUAAUGAAGGCGAUUAUUAAAAUUAAUUAAAUUUAUUUAAUUUUGUUGGAAUAACAUACUUUCUUUUUUGGGUUAAAUCUAUACAAGGAGAUUAAAUUUUCAAUAAUUUAAAAUAAUGAAUUACAAAAAUUAGGAAUAAAAUCAGGAUUAGAUACCCUGGUAUUCAAUUUACUUUAAGAUUAGGGUAGUAAAAGUUGUGCUUCAAACCCAAAGAUUUUGGCGGUAUUCUAGCCAGACAGAGGAGCUUGUUUUUUAAUUGAUGAUCCCCAUUUUAUCUUACUUCAGUUAAUUAGUUUGUAUACCGCCGUUGUCAGAUUACCUUUAAAGAGUGUUUUCUAAAAAAAUAAUUUUUAAACUUCAGGUCAAGGUGCAGCUUAUACUAAAGUUUGAAUGAGCUACAAUUAACCAUAUUAAUUACGGACUAUUUUUGUAAAAGAAAUACGAAGGAGGAUUUGUAAGUAAAUUAAUUUAAUGAUAAUUACUUGAAGCAAGGCAAUAGAAUAUGUACAUAUCGCCCGUCACUCUCUUCUUAAGAG